UAAACGUCUUUCUCUCUCAUCUUUACAAUCUAUCUCUAUCCAUUUUCUCGGCAUUGAAGGAGAAUUUAAAAACCCUAGUUCUCACUUUCCAUCUUCCGCCGCCUCUCCUUCUCCUCUGCCCCCCAACGUUUACCUCUUCUCUCCUUCCACUUUGGUUCAUCUUAUGUAUUGAUUCUCACAACGCAACGUUCUGUUUUUAAUUGGCUCAAGAACGACCUUAAUGAGAAAAGUCGGGUUGAGCCUCGCCGCCCCUCACACCGACGCCGCCCCCACCGCGAUCUGACCCAUCAGAUGACGCUAAAAAUACCGCUACGCCAACCCAACCCGGAGCUUACCGCAACACAACCCCCACCCCGAUCUCACACUUCCGGCGAUUUCACCCCCGCCGCGAUGACAAAGAGGAGCGGUGGGUCGAUUGGAGGCAUCCGUGCUAUAAAGCUUGGAGAGGAAGGCGACAAGUCGUAUGACAGAUGGGUUGUGUGGAUAAUGCAUGUGUGACUUGAUCUGUUGAUGUGUGGGCCUAGCAGAUGUUGUUGGUUGAAUUUGUGCAUUGUUUGAGGCUGAUUUUGUGCAUUGCAAAAAAUGAUUUUGCAUAUCAUUCCAAUAUCUUGUGGUAGUUUGUCUCGACACGCCGAAUUUCUGUUGAGCUUCUUUGAGAGUGCCACGAAGAGGUUUCCCAUUCACGCACUUUUGGAGGAUGAAUUGAACUAUCACGUUUUUCUUCUCUGGUGAAUAUUCAAUAUGUUUUCCCAUAUAUUUAAUGCUGGACUGGAGUUGAAGAAAUGAGAGUAUGAAUCGAUAUUUAUAGACUUAGUUAAUGUAUUUUGUAUUGGCGGCAGAUGUAUCUUUUGGCAGAAUUUCAUUUGCCGCCACUUUAAAUUUUUAGCUGCAGACGUCACUUUAAAUUUCUGGCGGUAGAUGGUAAUGUAACUAAACAAGAGUUCUCCAGUGUAUUUAUUGCAAUUAA